GUGGCUCAGUGGAAAAACCUCUGCUCUGCAUGCUGAAGGUCCCAGGUUCAAUCUCUGGUGAUGUGACA
rnacentral:tRNA from 1 species